GUGCUUGCUUCGGCAGCACAUACACUAAAAUUGGAACAAUAUAAAGAAGAGUAGCAUGGCCCCUGCGCAAGGAUGACAUGCAAAUUUGUGAAGCAUUCCAUAUUAAA
rnacentral:snRNA from 1 species